AGGGAAUCUUCGGCAAUGGGGGCAACCCUGACCGAGCAACGCCGCGUGAGUGAAGAAGGUUUUCGGAUCGUAAAGCUCUGUUGUAAGUCAAGAACGGGUGUGAGAGUGGAAAGUUCACACUGUGACGGUAGCUUACCAGAAAGGGACGGCUAACUACGUGCCAGCAGCCGCGGUAAUACGUAGGUCCCGAGCGUUGUCCGGAUUUAUUGGGCGUAAAGCGAGCGCAGGCGGUUUGAUAAGUCUGAAGUUAAAGGCUGUGGCUCAACCAUAGUUCGCUUUGGAAACUGUCAAACUUGAGUGCAGAAGGGGAGAGUGGAAUUCCAUGUGUAGCGGUAAAAUGCGUAGAUAUAUGGAGGAACACCGGUGGCGAAAGCGGCUCUCUGGUCUGUAACUGACGCUGAGGCUCGAAAGCGUGGGGAGCGAACAGGAUUAGAUACCCUGGUAGUCCACGCCGUAAACGAUGAGUGCUAGGUGUUGGAUCCUUUCCGGGAUUCAGUGCCGCAGCUAACGC
rnacentral:rRNA from 1 species